UGGGGAAUAUUGGACAAUGGGGGCAACCCUGAUACAGCGAUGCCGCGUGAGUGAAGAAGGCCUUCGGGUCGUAAAGCUCUUUAGGUUGGGAAGAAGUGUAUUGGGUUAAUACCCUGAUACGUUGACGGUACCGACAGAAUAAGCACCGGCAAACUCUGUGCCAGCAGCCGCGGUAAUACAGAGGGGGCGAGCGUUAAUCGGAUUUACUGGGCGUAAAGGGCGCGUAGGCGGUUCAAUGAGUGUGAUGUGAAAGCCCUGGGCUCAACCUAGGAAGUGCAUCGCAAACGAUUGAACUGGAGUAUAUGAGAGGGUGGUGGAAUUUCCGGUGUAGCAGUGAAAUGCGUAGAGAUCGGAAAGAACGUCGAUGGCGAAGGCAGCCACCUGGCAUAAUACUGACGCUGAGGCGCGAAAGCGUGGGGAUCAAA
rnacentral:rRNA from 1 species